GACGAACGCUGGCGGCGUGCUUAACACAUGCAAGUCGUACGGUAAGGCCCUUUGGGGGCUACACGAGUGUUGGAGGGGUGCGUAAGACGUGAGUAACCUUCCCACACCUUUGGGAUAACGCUAGGAAACUGGAGCUAAAACUGGAACUGUGCUCCUUCUUCAUGGUCGGGGUUGAACAGUUCCGGCGGGUCUGGAUGGACCUUCGGCCUAUCUGCUAGUCGGUGAGGUAACGGCCUACCGAGGCGGCGAUGCGUAGCCGACCUGAGAGGGGGACCGGCCACACUGGAACUGAGAGACGGUCCAGACGCCGACGGGAGGCAGCAGUAGGGAAGGGUGCGCAAUGGGCGAAAUACUGACGGAGCAACGCAGCGUGAGUGAAGAAGGUCUUCGGAUCGUAAAACUCUGUUAUUAGGGAAGAACAAUUGUGGAAGUAACGAUGCUUUUCUUGACGGUACCUAAUCAGAAAGCCACGGCUAACUACGUG
rnacentral:rRNA from 1 species